GAGUGAGUGGCGGACGGGUGAGUAACACGUGGGUAACCUGCCCUAAAGUGGGGGAUAACAUUUGGAAACAGAUGCUAAUACCGCAUAAAACCUAACACCGCAUGGUGUAGGGUUGAAAGAUGGUUUCGGCUAUCACUUUAGGAUGGACCCGCGGUGCAUUAGUUAGUUGGUGAGGUAAAGGCUCACCAAGACCGUGAUGCAUAGCCGACCUGAGAGGGUAAUCGGCCACACUGGGACUGAGACACGGCCCAGACUCCUACGGGAGGCAGCAGUAGGGAAUCUUCCACAAUGGACGAAAGUCUGAUGGAGCAACGCCGCGUGAGUGAAGAAGGUUUUCGGAUCGUAAAACUCUGUUGUUGGAGAAGAAUGUAUCUGAUAGUAACUGAUCAGGUAGUGACGGUAUCCAACCAGAAAGCCACGGCUAACUACGUGCCAGCAGCCGCGGUAAUACGUAGGUGGCAAGCGUUGUCCG
rnacentral:rRNA from 1 species